rnacentral:rRNA from 1 species
GAGAAACGCUGGCGGCGUGCCUAACACAUGCAAGUCGAACGCUUUGUACUACGGUACAGAGAGUGGCGGACGGGUGAGUACCACGUGGGUGAUCUGCCUUUGGGUGAGGAAUACCGGCGAGAAGUCGCCGACAAUCCCGCAUACGCUUCGUUAUUCACGAAGCAAAGCCUCUCGCAAGAGAGACGCCCGAAGAGGAGCCCGCGCCCGAUUAGCCAGUUGGUGGGGUAAUGGCCUACCAAAGCAACGAUCGGUAGCUGGUCUGAGAGGAUGAUCAGCC